GACGACGCUGGCGGCGUGCCUAAUACAUGCAAGUCGAGCGGACAGAAGGGAGCUUGCUCCCGGAUGUUAGCGGCGGACGGGUGAGUAACACGUGGGUAACCUGCCUGUAAGACUGGGAUAACUCCGGGAAACCGGAGCUAAUACCGGAUAGUUCCUUGAACCGCAUGGUUCAAGGAUGAAAGACGGUUUCGGCUGUCACUUACAGAUGGACCCGCGGCGCAUUAGCUAGUUGGUGGGGUAAUGGCUCACCAAGGCGACGAUGCGUAGCCGACCUGAGAGGGUGAUCGGCCACACUGGGACUGAGACACGGCCCAGACUCCUACGGGAGGCAGCAGUAGGGAAUCUUCCGCAAUGGACGAAAGUCUGACGGAGCAACGCCGCGUGAGUGAUGAAGGUUUUCGGAUCGUAAAGCUCUGUUGUUAGGGAAGAACAAGUGCGAGAGUAACUGCUCGCACCUUGACGGUACCUAACCAGAAAGCCACGGCUAACUACGUGCCAGCAGCCGCGGUAAUACGUAGGUGGCAAGCGUUGUCCGGAAUUAUUGGGCGUAAAGGGCUCGCAGGCGGUUUCUUAAGUCUGAUGUGAAAGCCCCGGCUCAACCGGGGAGGGUCAUUGGAAACUGGGAAACUUGAGUGCAGAAGAGGAGAGUGGAAUUCCACGUGUAGCGGUGAAAUGCGUAGAGAUGUGGAGGAACACCAGUGGCGAARGCGACUCUCUGGUCUGUAACUGACGCUGAGGAGCGAAAGCGUGGGGAGCGAACAGGAUUAGAUACCCUGGUAGUCCACGCCGUAAACGAUGAGUGCUAAGUGUUAGGGGGUUUCCGCCCCUUAGUGCUGCAGCUAACGCAUUAAGCACUCCGCCUGGGGAGUACGGUCGCAA
rnacentral:rRNA from 1 species